rnacentral:misc_RNA from 1 species
CAGGACACUUGGAGCCGGAUUGUAGCUGGCCUUUAAGGCAUGUGCACGUCCCUCCUUACAUCCACAUACACCUGUGCACAAAGAGGUCAUCACCUCGCUUACACAUACUCUUUGUAUAUGCAUGUUUCAUUAUUAAUAUUAUUA